rnacentral:lncRNA from 1 species
GAAUUUUGUGGAUGAAAAUGCAGGAUGAAAAAGGUAAUAUGUAAGCAGUCGACUGGGUUGCUGAUUUGAGGUAUGAGGUUGUGGUGUUUGAUGCAACAGCAUAUGAUCAGCCAGCGCUGCUACCGGGAGAUUCAUUGGUUUUGCGAGUGUUGUUGGUCUCGAUCUGGGGAAAUAUGGUCAUGAUCUGGUGUCGAAAAAUUUAGGGUGCAUUUAGUUGGUUGCGUGCAGAUAGUGUUGCUGCCCGUGUGGUGGUGUAGGCUGUGAUGGUCGCGAUCGUGGUUGUGCAAUUUUUAGGCGACAACAGCGGUGCCGAUUUUGGGCGGCGAUGGUUUUGAGCGUGAGCACUGUUGCUAGCGGUGGAAAAUGUGUGGAAAAUCUAAACUUUUGGGUGUCGGAGUUUUUGAGGUAGUUGAUGGUGGUUUGUAGGUCACGGUGUUUGUAGUUGGUGGUGGUGCUAGGGUGAUGUGGCGGUGAUUGAUUAUUUUGGAUUUGAUUCUAUAUUAGUGUUUUGGGUGGUGUUGGCUGUGAUGCUGACUGCGGUGGUGAGGUGGUGGUGGUGGUCGGCAGUGACGACGGUGGUGGUAGUGGCAACGGUGAUGGUGUAGGAUUGAGUAUUUGUUAUCAAUUAUUUGGUUGAUUGUGAUCAAUAACUUGUAAGUCGUGACUUAUAAAAUUUGUAAUUUGUCGUGGAUAAAUAAUUUGUGACCUAUAAUGUUUUUCAGUUUUGAUCGAUAAAUAAAUUGUGGCCUACAAAAUUUUGUCUUCAUGACAAAGAAAUAUUUUGUGAUC